GAGAGAGAGAGAGAGAGAGAAGACCUUAUUCUGGUUUCAAAUGUGGACCCUAGCAAGUCCAAUAAAUUCAUCAGAUUCUAAACUAUAUAAAUUCUUCUCUUUUUUUUCUGCUCAUCAAAUUUUACAAUCUAAAAUGUUCAAGCACCAGAAUUUGGAGAAAUAAAAAUUCAAACAUAUCAAGAUUCUCAUUUUAGUUGAAACAGAUGUUAAAGUUGUUGUAGCAAAAGACCGCGACCAAAGAAAUGCAUAGGAAAAUAAGGGAAAGAAAGAAUGUAGGACACACCCUAGGACAAUUUAACUGGACCUAUUUCUAAACAUCAAUUAAUAUGGACUGUAUGAUGAUCUAUGAUUGUGUUCAUCAAAUCAAUCCCUUAAAAUACAUGCUUUUGGAAAAUUUCUUGGGCAAAAAUUUAGUUGCUAUUAUUCAUGUAAGUAAUGGUGUUAUGAAAGGUGGAAGGCUAGUCAAAACUAUGAAGGGCAAAAGUUUAGUCAUAGCAAGUACUUAGUCAAAACUAUUCAUGCGAUUUUUGAAGUGAUUUGGCAGUUUAAAGGAAAUGCAAAUGAUUUGUUAGAAGCUAAAAUGUUCAUGUGAUAAUUAGAGAAUCCAUAAAUGGCAAUGAUACGAUUUGUGUUGAUGGGUACUGUUUAAUUUUUCAUCAUUUGGGUUGAUUUAAUUUGUUUUGAUUUCAGUCUGAAUAAGUUUGAUAAAUAUGGUUUGAUUUACAAUUAAAUGAGGUGUUGAUAUCUUGAGUAUACCAUUUUUCAGUUCACUAUUAAGAAUUAUUUUAGUGUAUAACUGUUAACACAUACUGUGCUUCUAUAUUAUACUAGG
rnacentral:misc_RNA from 1 species